UCCUCUCUCCCUCCUCUCCCUCCUCCCUCUCUCUCUCUCUCUCUCUCGUUUUUCUCUUCCUUUCUCUUUCUCUCUCACCCUCUCUGUGCAACUCUCUUGGUCAUUCUCCUCUCUCUGUGCAACUCUUUCCUAUCCAGUAUUUUGCUCUGCAAAUUCCAUCCACCUUUGCCUCUGAAUUCUCAACUCCGUCUCCUCAGCGCAGGAAGACCUUCAGACUCCCAGCACGGUGGCCAGGAAACACUCUGCAAGCAAUGAUAUUUAAAGCAAUUGGACUGGAUGCACCAUCUAGAGCGUGUGUGUGGCUGAAGAAGAGAAGAAGCUCAAAGGUCUGAUUCUUUCAGGAUCCUAAGGAGGCUCUCCAGCAUCUGAAAGUUGAGAAAAAAGCUAAAACCUGGAAAUGGGAGGCGGGUUCAAUCUUAUCAGCUGUAAUGAACUACCCAGACUCCCUUGAAGAUAAGUCAUUUCAUUAAGAAAACAGCAGCAAACCCCAAUAGAAGGGCAUCUUAUGAUAUACCUGACCCGUACUCCUCAAAACUCUCAAAGACAAGGAAAGCCUGAGAAAUUAACAGUCAAGAAGAGCCUAAGGAUACAGGAUCACUAAAUGUAAUAUGGUAUGCUGUAUGGGAUUCUGGAGGAGAAAAAUCACAUUAGGUAAAUGGUGAGGAAAUCUGAAUAAAGUAUGAAUUUUAGUUAAUAAUGUAUCAUUGUUAAUAAUUAAUUGUAACAAAUGUACCACACUAAUGUAAGCUGUUAAUAAUAGGUAAAAUGGGGUUUGGGGGAGAUGGGAACUCUGCACUAUCUUUGCAAUUUUUCUGCAAAUCUAAAACUGUUCUAAAAUAAAAAGGGUGCUUUAAAAUAUGCAUUGCAGAAUCAAGAAAAUACAGUGUAUAAAGCACUCAUUGGGGAUAACAAAUACUGCCCUCCCAUCUUCCAUCAGAAGAAAAACACUGGGAAUGUGAUAUUGAUUUGUGUAUUUGCACCUAACGGAUCCUUAAUGAAUUUGCCAAGGAUAAUUAAUAAAUAUGCCAGUUCAUGUUGUGAGCUUAAGUGAAAAAUAUAGUUCUUAUAUUCCUUGAGCAAAUUCAUUUUUCAAAGCAUCAUGCUAGGCACUUAAUUAUUGAAUGAUCACAUCAAGCCCAUGGGGAUUACGCCUUUAAAAAAAUAAAAAAAACUAGGAUCUAAGCUGUUAAGAAAUGUUUGCUAGGGCUGCCAUAAAAAAGUACCGCAGACUGGGUGGGUUAUUUUCUCACAGUUCUAAAGUUCAGAAGUCUGAGAUCAAGGUGUUGGCAGGGUUUAUUUCUUCUGGGGCCUUCCUCGGGUUUUCAGUUGGCUGUCCUAAUUUCCUCUUCUUGAAAGGACACUAGUCAGAUUAGGGCCCACAUGAAUAAUUUCAUUUUAACUUAAUUACCUUUUUAAAGACUGUAUCUCCACAGUCACAUUCUGAAGUACUAUGAGUUAGGAUGUCAAAUUAUGCAUUUUGUUGGGGGACACAAUUUAGCCCAUAACAAUGUCCACAUUGAUCUCUUUGACUACUACCCUCACCCCAGUGAUGGAGGUAUGAUUCUAAUCGAGAUCUUUAGUACUCCAAAGCUGGUGCUCAUUUCUUUAUAGUAUCAUAGUGGUCACCAGCCAUGGUUUAUUUAUGUCUUCUAGAAUACUUCAGCCACAGGAGAAGCUAAAUUUGUCCAGCUUUGUUUUAUCUUUUUUUUUCUUUUACAUGAUAUUCCAUAGUAAACAUUUUACUUAAAAGUGGGAACUAGUGCUAUAGUGAUAUAGUAGAUUCCAAGACAGACCUAUAUUUAGACACUGUUCUGCUACUCUAUACUGUGCUCUGUUUCUCCCAAGAUUUUUAGUGAGCAUUAAAUGAGAUACAGAUAAACACUUGGCUUGAAACAAAAGAUGAUCAGCAUUUCCCUUAUUAAGAGAAAAUAGUAUUAUAGAAAAUCUACCUCUCAAGUCAGUACAGUAAAUACAUGAGGAGUUCAGUGAAAUGUUCUUUAAGAAUUUGGAAGUGAAAGAAAUAUGAUUGCCUUUUGAGAGUUAAACUUUAAAAUCAUCACAUAAUGGAUAAAAACAGUCUCUUCUAGCAGCAGGAGUUGAUGUAAUAUGACUGGAGCUAUUAAUACAGCUAACGGAAGGAUGUGUCACUCCAAGGUAGGGGGUUGGACAGCCCAUGGGAGCUUAGGAAAAGGAGUCACAGAGACAAAUAUUAGCAGAACCCAUCUGGGUACUUUUGGGAAACAGGAAAUUUGAGCCAGUAGAUUUUUUUAAAUAUUAAGUUCCCAUUGCCAAGUUUCCAACUGUGUGAUUAAUACUUUAGCCUGUUUUAGUCUUAAACCAUAAAACAUUCACACAUUCCAAUGAGCUUCUUGUACUUGAAAACCAAUUGUACCUGAUCUCAGUAUGAUAUAGAUGUGCUUACAGAGAUUGUGUGGGUCUAUCAUGCUAACCUGGGUAUUUAGCAACCUGUUGUUUUUUUACUGUAAUUAAAUAGAACUUUAUGUAUUUGGUUAAUGUGACUGAGCAAUAGAUCCAUUAUUUGUGUACUUAGAAAGUCUGGUUUCUGCCUCUGAAUGACUAUGAACCCAAUUCUUCCAUAUUUUGACUUUAACCUAUAAGGGCUAAGAUUUAGGGUUAUUAGAUUUAGCAAAUAAGGAUAUAGAAAAACCAGUUAAAUUUGAGUUUCAGAUAAACAAUGGAUUUUUUUUUUCAGUAUAAGUAUGUUUCAGACAAAAUUUGGGAUAUGCUUGUGUAAAAAGUGUUGAAUGUUCAUUUGAAAUUCAAAUCUAACUGGCCAUUCUGUACUUUACCUGACAACUAUAGAGAGACCUCUUUUAAUACAGCUGCUAGUAUUAAUAUACUUAAAGCCCUUAGCACAGACUCAUACAUAAACACUAUAAAUGGUAACACAUUUCCUGUCUUAUGUAAACAAAGUUAUAGUAUAUGAAAAGUAAUCACCUUUGUUGACACCUAUUAACUAAAUAGAAGGCCCAUAAUCCUGUGCCCUUUUACUCUUCACAACGGAGACCUCAAAGGUCGGUUAUUGACUCUUCUGUUUAAGCAAGAUCAUGUUGCUUGUAUUUUGACCAUGAAGUUUCCAAAUAAUAAAAUAUUUAUGAAAUGGCCAAAAACUUUUGCUUCCCCUCUAAACCUGAGUGAUUAUAAAAUAGUCUAAACUCUUCCCUUCAACAUUCCUUCCUGCUGGCUGGGACGGACUUAUGGUGCACCUUAACCCAAGUGUCCCAGGGUUUAAAAAGUGCUUCUUUUCAACAGAGCCAUACUACUUCUAAUCACUUUCUAUUAGCACAGGGGGCGUGGCAUGAACAUGUAACUGACAUGAACUGCUCUAAAACUUGUGUAGGCAAUUUUCCUUCAAGGUAAAUGAAUGUCAGUGUAGGAGAGGAUAAACAUCUUUCCUUCAUCUAUCCUAGGUUCAUAGCUGAGGCCCCUAUAACAAAAGACAGAUUGGCAAAAGAAUAGCAUACCGAUUUAUUUAAUUUGUAUAUAAUAUACAAAUUUGUAUGUGAUACAGGAGCCUUCAUAAGGAAAUAAAGACUCAAAGCAACAGUUAAACAUGACUGUAUUUUAUUGAAGGUUUGAAGAGUGGACCACCGUGGAGAAAUAAGAUGGAAUAAAGGGGAUAUAAUCUAAUGGAAACUAGGGGAAAUUUAGAAAAGCCUGUUUGUUCAGAUUCCUCUCUGUGUCCUUUCAUCUUCAAAGAUAAGGAUGGUCCUUUCCUCUGGAUAUAGGGAGAGCAUUUCUCACAAGAGGGUCUUAUGACUUGCUUUAGGGGAAGGUCAGAAAAACCUUCCUAGGUGUUACGACCUGUUUUACAAGAAGAGGGUAGAGGAAGAUGAGAAUGAACUUUCUACCUUGUGGUUUUCUCAAAUUCCUCAGCUUCAGCUAUUUUAGGGUAGCAAGCCCUGGACCUCAUCAUUGGAAGAGUGAGUAAGGCUUGGCACAAAGAAGCAGCUAUAAUCUAGGCUAUCCAAAGCCCUAAGAGACUUCUAAAAUAAAAUAAGAAAAUCUUGAUGAGUAAUUCAAUAUUCCCUUUUUCCACAUUUGUCUGCUACACCAGAAAUUUUCGUAAGAUUAAAAGCUGUUAACUAAUCUUUUCAAUUACUUGGUUUAUUAAGCUAUCCAGGCAGCAACUUUCUCUAGAUAAUUUGUGUCAAGCUAAUCAAUACAUUCUUCCAUUUGUUUUUCCUUCUUUUGCAUUGUUCUUUAAG
rnacentral:lncRNA from 10 species